rnacentral:lncRNA from 1 species
UAAGCGUCCAUUUGUUUUCAAAAAAGAGUAGCAAAAUUACUUAAACCUAGGGUAAGUCUUUUAUUAAAUUUUUCUUCAAGAAUGGACAUAUUUUGAUAUCUAAAACACAUUUCAAAUUUUCAAAACAUUUUACAUAUCAUAUAAAUAAAAAGUAGAAUAACAAAAAACAAUCCAAGGAAAAUUAAAAAAAAAUCCUUUUUACCAAAUGGCAAAAUCAAAAGCACAAACACAUCAAAAGAGUUAAACAACUUUCAUAUUAAUUACUUGAUGUACAUGAUCUUCCUUAUGUAGAACAUGGUGGAAUUAGCCUUGUUUUUAUAGCUACCUAACUCUAUCUCUUGUAUGACAGUCGUAUUAAAUUCAAUUAUGUGUGAGCAAAGUAAACAGACAUGUUUAAAUUUGCGACUGUUCCUAGUCAGGAUCCUUUGUUGUCCUUGUUUGAUUUUUAUACGCCCGUCAAAAUUUUGACGGGACGUAUUAUGGUAUACAAAUGUCCGGUGUCCGUCCGUUCCGUCGUCCGUCGUCUGUUCGUCUGUCCUGUCCGUUCGUCUGUCGGGGCGGCGUAAGCAUGUGGCACUGUAACAUUGAGAAGACUUAUCUCAAUUCGAGAAAACCUUAAAUAUAGGUUGUUUGCUUAUGAAUGGUCAAAAUGUUGUAUAUCUUUAUUUGUUAAAAAAUUUUAGCAGAUUUAAAAACUUGUUUUUUGGAGUAACGGCCACUUUGUAAUAAAAGGGUGGUGUUUUUUACAAUGUCGCCACCGUAUUCUCAAAAUCGUUCUUGGAUUUGGAUUAAAACUUAAACACUUAGUUAUAGUUUACUUUAAUCAUACUGUUAUUAUGUUUUGGUAUGAUUCAUAAUUUUAUUUUUGAGUUAUUGAGUAUUUUGUAAAAAAAGGGGAGGGCUUUUUACAUGUCGCACCAUAUCUCAUAAACGAUUUAUGAUUAUUGCUUAAAACUUUACACAUGUCUUUGUUUAUUUAAUCUAAAGAUCUGUAUACUUUUUGGUGAUGAUUCAAAAUUUCAUUUUUGAGUUAUUGAGUAUUUUGUAAAAAGGUGAGGUUUUUUUUUACAAUUUGUGCCGAUCUAAAACAUUUAUGAUUUAUUGCUUACAACUUUACCCGCUUCUUUGUUCUAUUAAUUCUAAAGAUUGUAUACUUUUUGGUGAUUGAUUCAAUAACUUUUAUUUAUGGAGUAAUUGAGUAAUUUUUGUUAAUACAUGGAGGGUGUUUUAGCAUGUUGCACUAUCAUCAAAAAUUUAUUAUGAUUAUUGUUUUAAACUAUUCACACUCUUUGUCUAUAUUGAGUCGAUAAUAUUGGGUGAGUAUUGGUGGUCUUCUUGAUUCAAAUUACAUUAUUAGUUGAUAUUUAGUUUUUUUUGUAAAAAAAAAAAAAGCAGGUAAUUUGGGUUUCAGCAUUCUCGCAGUGUUCUCAAAAACAUACAUAUGGUUUUUGCUACUAAACUUCGUCAGAAAUCAUCUUAUGAUGUAUUGCAUUUAAAACUUACCUAACAAGACGUUGCGCGUAUAUGCCUGCAUGGCGAGCUGUUUAUUAUUUUAAGUUAAAUAACAUGUUUUGGAGAUUAGUAUGACGCAUAUUUCGACUGUUGUAGCACACAUUUUUGUUAAAGGGCAAGCUGAAGCCCACUUCCGGUUUCGAACAUUUUUCGCUGUGUUUGAAGACUCAUUGGCAGCAUUCAUUCGGCUGUUGUCUGUUCUUUGAUAAAUUCCGCAUUUCCUUUCUCCAGUUUAUAAUUAAUAAAAAUGUCAAAAAGAGGCGUACCGCAGUAAACAAUGUGUUAUAAUCUUAAUCAUUAUAAAAUAUAAUUGUAUACACACUAAGAACACGCAAAAAUGAAAGACAAAUAUGGAAAACAAACUAUGAUAGUAAAAUAACACAAUGGCGGGAUGUAUAAUGACCGAGCCCAGAAAAAAGAAUAUUCCCCAAAAUUGAUCAAACACUCAAGGUUAAUAAUUUACAAAGACAAAUAAAAGAACACUAUAAUUUAACACUACAUUUGCACUUCAGUCUGAGGAUAAAUAUUACACAUUCACAGUAUGAACUUUAUAUUUAAUUUAUAGUUUACAGCCAAUAUGUACCAAAACUCAAGAGCCAAUCAACAGGAGAGCGAUCAAAAUGUUCAUGGAUUAAGGAGAAUAACUUAUCGGUCAAAAUACCACGUCAAACGUUUCCCUUACCGCGGAAGGCGUAGAUACACACCAUUAGUUUACCAAUCUGAAGACGGGGGGAUCAUUAUAUCAAAUGACGUUUUCGGGUUGACUAUCAGACAGUUUGAACGAGCGUAUGAAGCGUGUUUGAAUAGAAGGAAAACACAUGAACAGUAUAUACUUAAUAUAAGAUAUCCUGACAAAACAUCAGCUGAAUAUAUAGAAUACUUAGAGAAC